AGAGUUUGAUCCUGGCUCAGGAUGAACGCUGGCGGCGUGCCUAAUACAUGCAAGUCGAACGCUUCACUUCGGUGAAGAGUGGCGAACGGGUGAGUAAUACAUAAGUAACCUGGCAUCUACAGGGGGAUAACUGAUGGAAACGUCAGCUAAGACCGCAUAGGUGUAGAGAUCGCAUGAACUCUAUAUGAAAAGUGCUACGGGACUGGUAGAUGAUGGACUUAUGGCGCAUUAGCUGGUUGGUAGGGUAACGGCCUACCAAGGCGACGAUGCGUAGCCGACCUGAGAGGGUGACCGGCCACACUGGGACUGAGACACGGCCCAGACUCCUACGGGAGGCAGCAGUAGGGAAUUUUCGGCAAUGGGGGAAACCCUGACCGAGCAACGCCGCGUGAAGGAAGAAGUAAUUCGUUAUGUAAACUUCUGUCAUAGAGGAAGAACGGUGGAUAUAGGGAAUGAUAUCCAAGUGACGGUACUCUAUAAGAAAGCCACGGCUAACUACGUGCCAGCAGCCGCGGUAAUACGUAGGUGGCGAGCGUUAUCCGGAAUUAUUGGGCGUAAAGAGGGAGCAGGCGGCACUAAGGGUCUGUGGUGAAAGAUCGAAGCUUAACUUCGGUAAGCCAUGGAAACCGUAGAGCUAGAGUGUGUGAGAGGAUCGUGGAAUUCCAUGUGUAGCGGUGAAAUGCGUAGAUAUAUGGAGGAACACCAGUGGCGAAGGCGACGAUCUGGCGCAUAACUGACGCUCAGUCCCGAAAGCGUGGGGAGCAAAUAGGAUUAGAUACCCUAGUAGUCCACGCCGUAAACGAUGAGUACUAAGUGUUGGGAGUCAAAUCUCAGUGCUGCAGUUAACGCAAUAAGUACUCCGCCUGAGUAGUACGUUCGCAAGAAUGAAACUCAAAGGAAUUGACGGGGGCCCGCACAAGCGGUGGAGCAUGUGGUUUAAUUCGAAGCAACGCGAAGAACCUUACCAGGUCUUGACAUCCAACUAACGAAGUAGAGAUACAUUAGGUGCCCUUCGGGGAAAGUUGAGACAGGUGGUGCAUGGUUGUCGUCAGCUCGUGUCGUGAGAUGUUGGGUUAAGU
rnacentral:rRNA from 1 species